rnacentral:rRNA from 1 species
AAUGGGAUGCGAAUCUCGAAAGCCUGUCUCAGUUCGGAUUGGAGGCUGAAACCCGCCUCCAUGAAGUUGGAUUCGCUAGUAAUCGCGCAUCAGCCAUGGCGCGGUGAAUACGUUCCCGGGCCUUGUACACACCGCCCGUCAAGCCAUGGGAGCCGGGGGUGCCUGAAGUUCGUGACCGCAAGGAGCGACUUAGGGCAAAACUGGUGACUGGGGCUAAGUCGUAACAAGGUACC